rnacentral:tRNA from 1 species
GGGGGCUUAGUAUAUAUUAGUACCACGGUCUGUAAAACUGGGAGAUAAUGCCCUUGAUCUUAUUAGCUCUCU